CACGAGUGGCUCAGUGGUGGAGUAUCGCCUUGCCAAGGCGAGGGUCGCGGGUUCGAAUGUCUACGCUCCGGUC
rnacentral:tRNA from 1 species